rnacentral:misc_RNA from 1 species
UUGUCUUUCCAGAUGUGUGUGAUGCGGCAGUGAUGACACAGCAAGUGCUUGUGCUGUAACCAUUGGGCACCAGUGACGCAAAUUAUGACGCAGUGAGGGAGGAAAGGCUUAUCCGUAUGGCUGUUCAUGCCAUGCAUCACAGGCAUAGUGAAGCAAGCAGCGGAGCAGUAAUGACGCAAUUGAGUUGUGAAUAGAGAGUGAGGUGGUUGUGAUGUGGUGGUGACCCCCGAGGGGACCCGAGGGAGGACCUUCACCAUCACCACUGCCACCCAGAGUGCCUCUUACUCCCCCUCCUCUCCAGGGUGAUGCCUAGGUGACCCCAGGUGACCCCACGGAGGACCUACAGUGCCGCACGCUCCCCCAGGGUGAUGGCGGCGCCCGUAGUGAGGUGGUGAUGGUGAGAAUGGUGACACGCAUCCGCCUAUAGUGCAGCAGGGUCGUCGAGGAUGUCGUGGCUGGGAAGCGACGACCCCGGGGGCGGCGGGUUCGGCUACGACUACCCCUGGUGGGCGGCGGAAGAGGGCCACCGGACCCGAAGUAACCAGACCUGGGAGCAACGCUGUCGGGCCCUCGACUACGACUACCACGUCGUCACGGCCGUCAUCUGCGGCAUGUUCCUCGUCUUCGGCGUCGUCUACAGCCUCUUCGGUUACCGAUGCUUCAAGGCUGUUAUGUUUCUCACUGGCUUUAUCUUCGCGUCCGUGGUAGUGUACUUGAUCUGCUUAAGCGAGGACCUGCUACCCCUGGUGGGGAACGCCGGCGUUGCCCUGGGAGCAGGUGUCAUGUUUGGGCUCAUCACCAUGCUGGUUCAGUACGUGGGGCUCUUCAUGACCGGAUUACACACUGGCCUUUUCCUUGGAGUGGCUGGCAUUGCCAUAGCCUAUAAUUGGUGGGUCCCCAGCAGUGUAUGGCCAGUGGUAGGUAUACUCCUGGCGGCAGGAUUGUUACUGGCCAUCAUGACGCUGUAUUUCCAGAAAGGGCUCACUAUCCUUGGUACAGCUAUUAGUGGAGGAGCCAUCAUGUCUGCCACUCUUGACUAUUUUAUUGAGAAGUUCUUAAUGGUUCACUGGUUUGAAGACCGAUUGAAGGCAGUGGAUAGUGAACGUCCAUGUUGGUUUUCAUGGAUGAUUUUAGGAGUUUGGCCUUUUAUGGUGGUGGUGGGAAGCCUUACACAGUGGAGGAUCACAGGGAGAGGCAUCUAUCAUCAGCAGUUGGUGCCCUCCAAAAAAUCUCGAAGUGUGAACCUCCAGCGAAUGCGGAGUCGAGAGGCCAGGGCUGAGAUGCGCCAGAAGAAAUACCGGUAUUUGUAUCAAGUUCGUACUGCUCACGGGGACAUCAUCAGCCAGGUGAAUAUGCCAGUGUCCGAUCUCAGAUAUACGACUGUUAGCGAGGCUUAGCAGUGUCUGUCUGGCGGAUUCGUGGUGGUGGGACUAACUGGUGGUUGUGCCGUCUUAUGCAAGUGUUCAGGAGUAUAUUCAAAGUCUUCAGCGCAAGGCCUACCCAACUGGUGACAAUGGAACACUCCAAUCAGAUUCUACUCACACCACCAUGCUACCCCCAGAACACUCACAGUUGGCUCCACUUACUGAAAGUGAGGACG